UACGUAGGGUGCAAGCGUUAAUCGGAAUUACUGGGCGUAAAGCGUGCGCAGGCGGUUUUGUAAGUCUGUCGUGAAAGCCCCGGGCUCAACCUGGGAAUUGCGAUGGAGACUGCAAGGCUUGAAUCUGGCAGAGGGGGGGUAGAAUUCCACGUGUAGCAGUGAAAUGCGUAGAGAUGUGGAGGAACACCGAUGGCGAAGGCAGCCCCCCUGGGUCAAGAUUGACGCUCAUGCACGAAAAGCGUGGGGAGCAAACAGG
rnacentral:rRNA from 1 species